rnacentral:lncRNA from 1 species
CGAGACCGGGGGCCGGAGCUGCGGCGCGGGCGGGGCUCCAGAUCGGACCCCUGCGGCCUGCGCUCUCCUCGGCGCUUGCUCCUCGGCCGCUUCGCCGUCUGAAGCAGAGGCGAAAACCGUGCACGGUAAUUGGGACACACAGAUCCCUGGGCGCGAAGCGGGGCAAAGCCCCGGGGAGCUCAGGGACAGGCAGUAGCAUGCGGGGACCACAGCUGGAGAGGCUCCUCACUGCUCCAGAGAACCCAAACACCAGGACACCCACCAAUUUCCUUCCCCCAAAUUUCUCCAGACCCUCAUCCACGCUGCAGGGUCCGCCUGGUGGCGGUAACGCCCCGCUCCUGCAGCAACACAGGCCGGUCCCAGAGCGAGCCUGCCCGUCAAAGAGGACGACAUUACUACACGUAUCUAACUCGGAGGUUGUCGGAGGGCUGAGCCAGUCCGCGCGCAGCGGGCCACACGGGGGCGGUGAGGAAGUGCAGCACCUUAGCCGGUGUGCGCGGACCAGGAGGUUCCGGGGGUUCGGGACACCUGCACCUUGUGCGCAGGACUACUUUUGGUCAUUUGUCAAAGCUGACCGGUCACGUCUACAGUCUCCUGCUCUGUACUCACAUCUCAAGCCGCUGUCCUUUCAGCACGGUGCUGGGGAGGCAGGAUUCUGGAACUGGAUUACCCAGAUUCAAGUCUCAGCCUCUGCCAUUGGCUGAGGAGCCUCGGGUAAGUCAUUGAGCUUCUAUGUCCCCCAGUUUCCUCAUCUGUAAAGCAGGGAUAAUAAUAUGUGUUCAUAAGUAUAUGUUUGUUGCUAAUAAUAUAAGUAUGUAAGUAAUAAGUAUAUGUUUGUUAUGAGAAUUGAGUUAAUAUAUGUAAAGAAUUCAGAACAGUGUUUGGCACCUAAAAAGUAUUACAUAAGUGUUGGUUACUGUCUUUUGUGACUGAUAUAUAUAUAUUUUUUAUUGAAAUCAAAUUCACAUAACAUCAAAUUAACCAUUUAAAAAUGUACAGUGAAGUAGCACUUAUUAUGUUCACAAUGUUGUGAACUCAAUCUAGUUCCAAGAUAUUUUGAUCACUCACGAGGGAGACCACAUACCCGUUAAGCAGUCACUUCCCAUUCUUUCCUCCCCCCAGCCCCUGGCACACAUCAAUCUGCUUUUUGUCUCUAUAAAUUUAACUGUUCUGGAUAUUCAUAUAAACAGAAUCACAAUAUAUGACCUUUUAUGUGUGGAUUCUUUCAUUUAGCAUGAUGUUUUCAAAGUUCAUUCACAUUAGAGCAUGUGUUAGUACUAGAUUCCUUUGUAUGGCUGAAUAACAUGUCG